rnacentral:rRNA from 1 species
GACGAACGCUGGCGGCGUGCUUAACACAUGCAAGUCGAACGGAAAGGCCCUGCUUUUGUGGGGUGCUCGAGUGGCGAACGGGUGAGUAACACGUGAGUAACCUGCCCUUGACUUUGGGAUAACUUCAGGAAACUGGGGCUGAUACCGGAUAGGAGCUCCUGCUGCAUGGUGGGGGUUGGAAAGUUUCGGCGGUUGGGGAUGGACUCGCGGCUUAUCAGCUUGUUGGUGGGGUAGUGGCUUACCAAGGCUUUGACGGGUAGCCGGCCUGAGAGGGUGACCGGCCACAUUGGGACUGAGAUACGGCCCAGACUCCUACGGGAGGCAGCAGUGGGGAAUAUUGCACAAUGGGCGGAAGCCUGAUGCAGCAACGCCGCGUGCGGGAUGACGGCCUUCGGGUUGUAAACCGCUUUCGCCUGUGACGAAGCGUGAGUGACGGUAAUGGGUAAAGAAGCACCGGCUAACCACGUG